rnacentral:misc_RNA from 1 species
AGAGAGAGGGAGGGGGAGAGCUCAAGGCUCUUCCCAAACAAAAAACAAAUAGAUUGUAAAACAGUUAAAUUGGAAAAACUUGGAAAUAAAUUGAUUGAAUGUGAAACGAUCAUUAACAAUUCAUGCUACUUUUCAUGGGAAGAAAAAAUCGUUGAAAGAAAUGGCCAUUUCAGGUCUAAAUCCACUAAAAAUCAUGAUCAGAGGAUCAUCGAAAAUCAAAAGGAGGGGAAAAAAUAAUUUAAUUAAAAAAAAGUAAAAUUAUAUAUUUUCAUGCAGUCCUGUGAAGAAACAGAGGAAAUGAAGAUCACAUGAUCAUAGCCAAAUGUUCUCUGUAUCCAAAAAUAAAUAAAAAUAUCAAAGCUAAUUCCUAUAAGCACUGAUAGCAACGUAUAGUUUCAGAGAGAUAGAAUGAGAGAGGGAGAGAGAGCUUACUAUCGACUACAGCGAGAGCUAUGGAUUCUUCAGGUGGUGGAACAAUAACUUUCUCUUGUGACGCACCUUGUUUAACUUCCGCCGGUGCCGGAGUCGGUGUCGCCGGUGAUUUGGCUUCUAGCUUCUUCGAUUCCUGCUCUGCCAUUGACACAACUUUAGUGGAAAACUUGGCAGCGUUGCAAAAUUUGGCAAGGGCUCUUUAUAAGCGCCAGCUAAAGUGAAUCGCAUAAGCAGGGGUUACUUUAAAGGAUCCAAUGGAUCAACGUCAGUUUUAAUUACUGGUCAGAGAAUGGUUGAUGGAGAGGUGAUUUGUUGAAGGAUGC